UGUUCGCCAUUUAAAGUGGUACGCGAGCUGGGUUUAGAACGUCGUGAGACAGUUCGGUCCCUAUCUGCCGUGGGCGUUGGAUGAUUGAUUGGGGCUGCUCCUAGUACGAGAGGACCGGAGUGGACGCAUCACUGGUGUUCCAGUUGUCUCGCCAGAGGCAUUGCUGGGUAGCUAAAUGCGGAAGAGAUAAGUGCUGAAAGCAUCUAAGCACGAAACUUGCCAAGAGAUGAGUCAUCCCUGACUUUAAGUCAGUAAGGGUUGUUGUAGACUACGACGUAGAUAGGUCAGGUGUGUAAGUGUAGUGAUACAUUGAGCUAACAGAUACUAAUUGCCCGAGAGGCUUAACUAUACAACGCUCAAG
rnacentral:rRNA from 1 species